rnacentral:rRNA from 1 species
GGGGAAUUUUCCGCAAUGGGCGAAAGCCUGACGGAGCAAUACCGCGUGAGGGAGGAAGGCUCUUGGGUUGUAAACCUCUUUUCUCAGGGAAGAAAAAAAUGACGGUACCUGAGGAAUAAGCAUCGGCUAACUCCGUGCCAGCAGCCGCGGUAAUACGGAGGAUGCAAGCGUUAUCCGGAAUGAUUGGGCGUAAAGGGUCCGCAGGUGGCAUUGUAWGUCUGCUGUUAAAGAGUCUGGCUCAACCAGAUCAAAGCAGUGGAAACUACAAAGCUAGAGUAUGGUCGGGGCAGAGGGAAUUCCUGGUGUAGCGGUGAAAUGCGUAGAUAUCAGGAAGAAC